GACCGCAUAGCUCAGUUGGCAGAGCAUUGGGCUAGUAUUCCAAAAGUCGUAGGUUCGAUUCCCACCGUGGUCA
rnacentral:tRNA from 1 species